rnacentral:lncRNA from 1 species
GGACCCCCGCGCCGUCAGGGCUCGGGACUGUCAUUGGGACUGUCAUUGGGCUCCGGCCCUGGGCGACCUCCCGCAGACCCGAAGCGGCAAUCCCAGAGCGGACAAUACCUCGUGAGGGACGCAGAUGCUUUCCCUGCUCGGCCGGUGUGUGGGCUGGUGUCGGGGUUCCGACCCCACAUCAGAUGGCGCUAGAGGAAGGGCCCCGGC